CCUGGGUGCCAAGUUUUGAC
rnacentral:miRNA from 1 species